rnacentral:misc_RNA from 1 species
AAGUCGUAACAAGGUUUCCGUAGGUGAACCUGCGGAAGGAUCAUUACCAAACGUGAUACUUCUAAGCCCUGCGCUUUCGAGAGAAUUGCAGGCAACCACGAGCAAGCGUAGCGCGGUUCCGCGCUACGUGAGGGAAAGAAUCAUGCUGAUAUGAGUGAAUCUUUCUAGCGCCGUUCCCCCAACGAUGGUGCUCAUCACCGGUCGGCGGGGAGCUCUGAGGACGGACUCGGUACUUUCACCGAACACCCUGUGCUUGAAAAGGAAUAAACAAUGCAGUACAACUGCAAACGGUGGAUCACUCGGCUCGCAGGUAGAUGAAGAACGCAGC